CUCGGAGUUUGAUCCUGGCUCAGAUUGAACGCUGGCGGAAUGCUUUACACAUGCAAGUCGAACGGUAGAGGGGGCAACCCCUCGAGAGUGGCGAACGGGUGAGUAAUAUAUCGGAACGUGCCCAGUCGUGGGGGAUAACGUAGCGAAAGUUACGCUAAUACCGGCAUACGAUCUAAGGAUGAAAGCGGGGACUCGCAAGAGCCUCGCGCGGAUUGGAGCGGCCGAUAUCAGAUUAGGUAGUUGGUGGGGUAAAGGCUCACCAAGCCAACGAUCUGUAGCUGGUCUGAGAGGACGACCAGCCACACUGGAACUGAGA
rnacentral:rRNA from 1 species